GGACGAACGCUGGCGGCGUGCCUAACACAUGCAAGUCGAACGAAGCAUAGCAAUAUGCUUAGUGGCGGACGGGUGAGUAACGCGUGAACAAUCUGCCCUGUACAAAGGAAUAGCCUCGGGAAACCGGGAUUAAAACCGUAUGACACUUUAGUAUCGCAUGAUAAGAAAGUCAAAUCGAUUAGAGGUAUGGGAUGAGUUCGCGUCUGAUUAGCUGGUUGGCGGGGUAACGGCCCACCAAGGCGACGAUCAGUAGCCGGCCUGAGAGGGUGAACGGCCACACUGGAACUGAGACACGGUCCAGACUCCUACGGGAGGCAGCAGUGGGGAAUAUUGCACAAUGGAGGGAACUCUGAUGCAGCGACGCCGCGUGAGUGAAGAAGGUCUUCGGAUCGUAAAACUCUGUCCUUGGUGAAGAAAAGGACGGUAGCCAAGGAGGAAGCCCCGGCUAACUACGUGCCAGCAGCCGCGGUAAUACGUAGGGGGCGAGCGUUGUCCGGAUUUACUGGGCGUAAAGGGUGAGUAGGCGGUUAUAUAUGUCAGGUGUAAAAGAUCAUGGCUCAACCAUGGUUGGCACUUGAAACUGUAUGACUUGAGUGCAGGAGAGGUAAGCGGAAUUCCUAGUGUAGCGGUGAAAUGCGUAGAUAUUAGGAGGAACACCAGUGGCGAAGGCGGCUUACUGGACUGUAACUGACGCUGAGACACGAAAGCGUGGGUAGCAAACAGGAUUAGAUACCCUGGUAGUCCACGCUGUAAACGAUGAGUGCUAGGUGUUGGGUAGCGAUAUUCAGUGCCGGAGUAAACACAAUAAGCACUCCGCCUGGGGAGUACGUACGCAAGUAUGAAACUCAAAGGAAUUGACGGGGGCCCGCACAAGCGGUGGAGCAUGUUGCUUAAUUCGAGGCAACGCGAAGAACCUUACCCAGGUUUGACAUGCAUUUGACCGGUGGUGAAAGCCACCUUCCCUUCGGGGCGGAUGCACAGAUGCUGCAUGGCUGUCGUCAGCUCGUGCCGUGAGGUGUUCGGUUAAGUCCGGCAACGAGCGCAACCCGUGCCGUCAGUUACCAUCAGGUAAUGCUGGGGACUCUGGCGGGACCGCCCGUGUCAAGCGGGAGGAAGGCGCGGAUGACGUCAAGUCCGUAUGGCUCUUACACCUGGGGCUGCAAACGUGCUACAAUGGUCGGUACAAAGGGGAGCGAGUCCGCGAGGCCAAGCCAAUCCUUAAAACCGGCCCCAGUUCGGAUCGCAGUCUGCAACUCGACUGCGUGAAGCCGGAAUCGCUAGUAAAGGGGCAUCAGCAACGGCCCCUUGAAUACGUUCCCGGGCCU
rnacentral:rRNA from 1 species